UACGAAGGGGGCGAGCGUUGUUCGGAAUCACUGGGCGUAAAGGGCGCGUAGGCGGCCCUCUUUGUCGCGUGUGAAAGCCCCGGGCUCAACCCGGGAAGUGCACCCGAUACUGUAUGGCUUGAGUAUCGGAGAGGUUGGUGGAAUUCUCGGUGUAGAGGUGAAAUUCGUAGAUAUCGAGAGGAACACCGGUGGCGAAGGCGGCCAACUGGACGAAUACUGACGCUGAGACACGAAAGCGUGGGGAGCAAACAGG
rnacentral:rRNA from 1 species